GUUACCUGGGUCAUAAAAUUACAUUAACCCACUUAUCUGAUCCUAUCAAAAUUGAAUUUAGAUAUCUCACCAUCCAUCACGAAGUUCUGUCUCUCAAUUAAAUACUCUUAACUUAAUUUCUUGAAGAUGCCAACGAUUUAUGAGAAACGACUAUGGUGGUGAGGUAGGCAAGAUAGUAGAGGAGGUGAUGAGAGCAACGACUAUGGUGGUGGGAGCAGUAGCUACGGUGGCGAAGGCAGCAACUACAGUGGUAAACAGUGGUUGCGGUCAGUAUGAUGGUGGAGGUCAACUCCCGAUGGGGAUAGUUGCGCAAGAGAGAAGAUGAAUGGGGGAGAGAGAAUUUGGGUGAAAUCAAAAAGAAGAUCGGAAAAAUGGGGAAGCCAUUGGGAACAACAAGAUGUCUGCCCCUUCUCACUCCACUUCUUUCGCCAUUGUUUCUCGCUCUAACAAAAUUUUGGGUCGGGUCAGCUAAGUGGAUUGAAAUAAAAUUUAUUUUUUAUUUCGGUACGAGAUUGUCACGUGGCCCAGUAAAAAAAUGACACGUCAUUAAAUUGAAGGUCCACCGGUUAUGCUGUUAGUUGUGGAGGUAAUUUUAUUAAUAGAAUUAACGUCGCGUGUUUUUUUGGACGGAUAGAUGAA